rnacentral:rRNA from 1 species
ACGAACGCUGGCGGCAUGCCUAACACAUGCAAGUCGAACGAGACCUUCGGGUCUAGUGGCGCACGGGUGCGUAACGCGUGGGAAUCUGCCCUUCGGUUCGGAAUAACAGUGGGAAACUACUGCUAAUACCGGAUAAUGACGUAAGUCCAAAGAUUUAUCGCCGAAGGAUGAGCCCGCGUAGGAUUAGCUAGUUGGUGGGGUAAAGGCCUACCAAGGCGACGAUCCUUAGCUGGUCUGAGAGGAUGAUCAGCCACACUGGGACUGAGACACGGCCCAGACUCCUACGGGAGGCAGCAGUGGGGAUAUUGGACAAUGGGCGAAAGCCUGAUCCAGCAAUGCCGCGUGAGUGAUGAAGGCCUUAGGGUUGUAAAGCUCUUUUACCCGGGAUGAUAAUGACAGUACCGGGAGAA